rnacentral:rRNA from 1 species
GAUUUACUGGGCGUAAAGGGUGUGUAGGGGGUCGUGUAAGUUUGACGUGAAAUCCCGUUGCUCAACAACGGAACUGCGUCGAAUACUGCUCGGCUGGAGGUUCGGAGAUGAGGGCGGAAUUCUCGGUGUAGCGGUGAAAUGCGUAGAUAUCGAGAGGAACGCCGAUGGCGAAAGCAGCCCUCAAGACGAAAUCUGACCCUGAAACACGAAGGCCAGGGGAGCAAACGGGAUUAGAUACCCCGGUAGUCCUGGCAGUAAACGGUGCUCAUUAGAUGUAGGCGGAUUCGACCCCGCCUGUGUCGAACCUAACGGAUUAAAUGAGCCGCCUGGGAAGUACGGUCGCAAGAUUAAAACUCAAAGAAAUUGACGGGGGCCCGCACAAGCGGUGGAGUAUGUGGCUUAAUUCGAUGCAACGCGAAGAACCUUACCUGGCCUUGACAUGCUGAGUUCAGGCGUGGAAACACGCUGGCCCGCAAGGGCGAUCUGCACAGGUGCUGCAUGGCUGUCGUCAGCUCGUGUCGUGAGAUGUUGGGUUAAGUCCCGCAACGAGCGCAACCCUCGUGACUAGUUAAUCCCGGGCAACCGGAUUCUGGUCAGACUGCCCUGUGAAACGGGGAGGAAGGUGGGGACGACGUCAAGUCCGUAUGGCCCUUACGGCCAGGGCUGCACACGUACUACAAUGCCCAAUACAGAGGGACGCAAGACCGCAAGGUGGAGCUAAUCCCGUAAAGUUGGGCCCAGUUCGGAUUGGAGGCUGCAACUCGCCUCCAUGAAGUUGGAAUCGCUAGUAAUGGCGCAUCAGCUACGGCGCCGUGAAUACGUUCCCGGGCCUUGUACACACCGCCCGUCACAUCAUGAAAGCCGGUCUUACCCAAAGUCGCCUCCGGGUGCCUAAGGUAAGGCUGGUGAUUGGGAUGAAGUCGUAACAAGGUAGCCGUAGGGGAACCUGCGGCUGGAUUACCUCCUUUCUAAGGAGUA